UUUUGUUCUUUUUCCUUUCUUCCUUCUUUCGUUCCUUCUUUUCUUUUUUUCUUCUUGGAUGAAGUUUCAACAAUGACGGUAAGUUCCUCGGCCAUGUUUAUACGUUCGAAUCGAAAAAGAUAUCCUUGAAAAGAUAGAUUCGAUAGAUUGGUACUUCUAUUU
rnacentral:ribozyme from 17 species